rnacentral:rRNA from 1 species
UAAUACGGAGGGUGCAAGCGUUAUUCGGAAUUACUAGGUGUAAAGGGCGUGUAGGUCGUUUAGUAAGUUAGAUGUGAAAUCUCAUGGCUCAACCAUGGGGCUGCAUUUAAAACUGCUAGACUUGAGUAUGAAAGGGGAAAAUGGAAUUCCUGGUGUAGCGGUGAAAUGUGUAGAUACCAGGAGGAACACCGAUGGCGAAAGCGAUUUUCUGGUUCAAUACUGACGCUAAGGCGCGAAAGCUAGGGGAGCAAACAGGAUUAGAUACCCUGGUAGUCCUAGCCGUAAACGAUGGUCACUAGGUGUAGGGAAGAUUAUUCUCUGUGCUGACGCUAACGCAUUAAGUGACCCACCUGGGGAGUACGGUCGCAAGGCUG